CGUGAAAUUGUUGAAAGGGAAGCGUUUGGCAUCAGCCCUUGGCGUCCGUCGAACAUCCAGGCUUCUGUCUGGUGCACUCGUCGGCCGUCGGGCCAGCGUCGGCUCUGCCUGUCGGAGAAAGGCCCGAGGGACGUGGCUCACCUUCGGGGGAGCGUUAUAACCUCGGGUGUCAUGCGAUGUGGUGGGGCCGAGGUCCGCGGAUUCUGUCCUAGGACGCUGGCGUAAUGGUUCCAAGCGACCCGUCUUGAAACACGG
rnacentral:rRNA from 1 species